GGGGGUAUUGCUCAAUGGAAGAGCACAUGCUUAGUGUGCACGAGGUCCUGGGUUCAAUUUCCAGUACCUCCA
rnacentral:tRNA from 1 species